rnacentral:rRNA from 1 species
UACGUAGGGGGCAAGCGUUGUCCGGAAUCAUUGGGCGUAAAGCGCGCGUAGGCGGCCCGGUAAGUCCGUUGUGAAAGUCAAAGGCUCAACCUUUGAACGCCGAUGGAUACUGCCGGGCUAGAGUCCGGAAGAGGCGAGUUGGAAUCCGUAGUGUAGCGGUGGAAUGCGCAGAAUAUCAGGAGGAACACCGGUGGCGAAGG